GUCCCUUAGGGGACAUUCGAUAAAAUUGAAAGAUACAGAGAAGACUAGCUAUGACUUUUGCGCAACGAUAAUACUCGCGGAUUGAAAAAUGAUCCAAUUACUU